rnacentral:rRNA from 1 species
UACGUAGGGGGCAAGCGUUGUCCGGAUUUAUUGGGCGUAAAGAGCGUGUAGGCGGCCAGGUAGGUCUGCUGUGAAAACUCGAGGCUUAACCUCGAGAUGUCGGCGGAAACCAUCUGGCUAGAGUCCGGAAGAGGAGAGUGGAAUUCCUGGUGUAGCGGUGAAAUGCGCAGAUAUCAGGAAGAACACCCGUGGCGAAGGCGGCUCUCUGGGGCGGUACUGACGCUGAGACGCGAAAGCGUGGGGAGCGAACAGG